GACCCUAUCGUCUAAUUGGUUAGGACAGCACCCUCUCAAGGUGUCAACACGGGUUCGAGUCCCGUUAGGGUCGCCA
rnacentral:tRNA from 1 species